UACGAAGGGGGCGAGCGUUGUUCGGAAUUAUUGGGCGUAAAGGGCGCGUAGGCGGUCUUGUAAGUCAGCUGUGAAAGCCCGGGGCUCAACCCCGGAGGGUCGGCUGAUACUGCAGGACUGGAGUACGGAAGAGGUAGCUGGAAUUCCCGGUGUAGCGGUGAAAUGCGUAGAUAUCUGGAGGAACACCGGUGGCGAAGGCGGCAUCCUGGACUACUACUGACGCUGAGGAGCGAAAGCCAGGGGAGCAAACGGG
rnacentral:rRNA from 1 species